GGCACUGGGCUUGGGAGGCGUACAAGCGACUGUGUUAGGUCCGUCCACUCGUGGCCGUAAACCCUAAUCCAAUCCCGAUCGAGGCGCGGCGGAGCGACCGCAUACUCCAAUCCAUCCACUCCUGAUUCGGUUGCUUCCAAAAAAAGUCCCGAUUGGAGGCGCAGCGGGAGCGACCGCAUCGAAUCCAUCCACUCCAGAUCCGAGGCGCAGAGAGGAUCCAAUGCAUCCAGUCUGUCCCGAUUCAAGGUGCGGUGGACCGACCACGUCGAAUCCAUCCAGCCCGGAUUCGAGGCGCAGAGAUGGCCAAUUCAUCAAUCCGUGAAUCGCCGUCCGGCUGGUCGUCUCUUGAAACUGCUACCGUGGGUUUGAAGGAAGUAAUCACUCUUCAGUUUCUCUCCAGCCAUUCAUGGUGGAUGAUGUGCGCCCCUUGCUGUCAUUAAUGGAUGCCUGGCUCUUUGUUUCUCAUUCUUCCGAUGUGUAUAUAUGCUUCCUCUACGCUCACUCUUCUAACUCCGGCGACAGAACAUCCAUCAGCAUGGUGCUCUUCUAGGUAUUGUUCAAACUGGGAGAUGGUCGAUUGUUUUGGCCAGAUAUUGGAAACUGGUUCUCGCAUCUUUUUUUUCUGAAAUUCUUCAGGUGAUAGUUCUAAUGGCUUCUGGACAGAUUAAAUGGAACAGUGUAGUUAUAUGCGCAAAAGAAUGUAGCCAUACUGUUAUAGAGGGGGGGUGAAGCCUCAGUAUCUUCUUCUAUGCAGAAGUGAGCAAAGCCCAAUAAUCUUACCGAUAUUUGAAAGUAUGUGUGUGGAUUUUCAAGACACGGUGCAGGCUUUGUUGCAUCAUUCCAAGUAUAAGGCAAGAUACACUUGGUUCAGUCUGGGGGCAGUGAUGUCAGCAAAUCGUUGGAAGAGAUCAGGAGGAGCUAUUUUAGUUACGACCUGAGGCACAACGAGCAGGAGGAGUUGGCCAACUGGAGUGCUAGAUUCAGGGCAAGUUUGCCUAAGCACUUUUAUUAGUUCCGUUGAUAAUACCAGGACUGGAGAACUGAAAGCCCUUGUAGAUGCAAGAGGAACAAGAUUGACAACGGCCUUUUGCAUUGCACUCUUGAUAAAGCUUCAAGCUCAAGGCCUUCGAUAUUUGUGAAGUUUUCCAGGAAGAAGAUUGACUAUAGCAUCUUGGAGUGCACUAAUAUUAAUAAAUAAACCCUUCAAUAUUUUUGUCGCCCAAAGGCUACAAGUUCUGUAAUUUACCCCAAAUACUUAGCAUUUUCUCUAACCAAAUAUGAGUGUAAUGUUUCAGAUCAUAUAUUCCCAGUAUUAUUAAGACAUCAUGUAUGUGAAGUUAUUUCUGC